AGUGUCAGAGCCAGGGCCGGCCCCGCUUUUUGGCGCCGCCCCGCCGCCAGGCCGCACGCCGCCGCCGCCCCAGCCCGCGUCCUCCGGGCCCAAGGCGCUGCGGCCGGCACGGGCAGCGGGGCGCGGGGCGCGGGGCGCGGGGAGCGCGGAGCGGCGAGCGCGCAACUUACUUUCCGCCCGCGGCGGGCGCCCGGGCCCGCACCCCCAGCCCGCAACGCCGCAGGCUACCCGGCGGCGGAGGCCGGCCCGCACCCGGCCCGCGGCCGCCGCGCCCCGCCGCGCCCCGCGCUCGCCCCUACCUCCGCCAGCAGGCGGGCGUCCGUCCGCAGCAGCCGCGGCGCCGACGACUCCCUCCCGGCCGCCGAACCCCCGCACCCAGCGCUAAUCAUAAUACCGAACGGGCGGCCGGCCGCGGGCGGGGGGGGCGAGGUGCGCCUGCGCGGGGCUCGCGUCACUGUGACGCAGAGCGGGGCGGGCCCGCGGGGGGGGCGGGGCCGGGAGCACCUGCGGGCGCGGGCGCGGGCGCGGGCGCGGGCGCGGGCGCGGGCGCGGGCGCGGGCGCGGGCGCGGGCGCGGGCGCGGGCGCGGGCGCGGGCGCGAGCGCGGGCUGCGGAGGGCGUCGUGGCGGCGUCGGGGCAGGUCGGCUCCGCGGCGGUGGGCUGGCGGCGGGAAGCGGCCGAGGCGCCCGAGGAGAGGGCCCGCGGAAGGAGGAAGCGCAAGGGACACGGGGCAGUGGCCGGGAAGAGUGGCGCGAGCUACCGGGUAACCGGAGAGCUGGGACGGCCUGCACCUGACCUGCCUGCGUCCUGGGGGCUGGCGGGGAGGGCAGCUCGCGCUUUGCCCUUCCGGGGGUGCCCGCGUCUCCCGCCGAGUUUAAGCAAGGAGAGGGAAAAGAGUGAAUAUACGUUCAUGUAUACACAUACAUAUAUAAAUAUAUGCAUAUGCUCUUUUUCUCUACAGUUUUAUUUCUUGGGAACCCAAUUUGAAGGAAUUUCAUUGAUUUUGUUGCUAUUUAAACAAAAGGAGAAAAGCCCACCAUCUGAAUGCGGCGCUGGCCUUAAAGGUCACCGGGAGACACUAGCCCGGCCCCAUCAGUUAGCGGCCUCUCCUGGAAACCACCUGGAAAGGCAAAAGGUCAUGGAAAGUGUUAAAACAGACCAAGUCCAGGAUUCAAACAGCAGACGUUAA
rnacentral:lncRNA from 12 species